GCGCGAGACGUGUGCGUCUCAUCAGUCGAUCGCGGCGCGAGGACUUGGAACGCUCAGGUGUAUCGUUCGGAACGGGCACUUAUCGCGCAGGAAACUCGGAAAACUCGGUGCAAGGAAGCAAGGAGCCGGCUCGUGGAUCAGUUGCGAGAAGAAUCGUAUAAUAGCGGAUAAUAAUCGAAUAAUAAUAAUCGUCGACGUAACAUCUCUGUAUUAUUAUCGCCGACAUCGAUACAAAUCUUGGUGUGCUUGUAUAAAAAAAAGUGUGUAGAGACGAAUAGAAAUUAUCCGCGGAAUUGCGAGAAAAAUGCAAUUCGACGCGCCGUUUGACAAUCAGCUGUUUCAUUUCGGCGCGAAAAUAUUCGUUUUCGCGAUCGUUUGCGGCGGAUUCGUCGUAGGACAAGUUAGCGCUCAGUAUCAUGGCAAUCCUGAUCACGUAGUCUUUCCCGGACCGAUUGGCUCGAGAUCGAGGGCCCUUGAUGUUAAACCCACGAAGGGCUCUGCGGAUGACAGGGAAAAUGCGCUGAUACCGCUCGGUUUAGCCAUUAAAUUAAAUUCCAUAGAAACGUCGGACGAAUUUUUGCAACUUCUUCAAGGUGUUCCCACAAAUGAAAAGGAGUCUACAUUAAGCAGUAGAUUUGGCGAAGGCGUGGAACGAUCGAACGCAGCGAAACCGGUACAGGCCAAGUGUAUGCCCGAGUUGCAACCCGUUUCUCUAAAAGUGGACGACGAUCCCUCGACGAUUAUCUUCCCAUCCUGUACGCGGAUCAACAGGUGCGGCGGCUGUUGCGGUAGUUCCUUGCUCUCUUGCCAGCCGACAGCCGUGGAGAUCCGAAACUUUGAGGUGAUCGUGGCGUCGAUGAAUGAGCUGAAUUACUCGGGUCGACGAAUUGUGCCGUUGGAGGAGCAUACUAAAUGCAAGUGUGACUGCAAAAUCAAACAGGAGCACUGCAACGACAAGCAGCAUUAUGAGCCGCAUAAUUGCAAAUGCGUCUGCGACAACGUCGAUGAGGCGGAGAAGUGCCGAAAGAACAACGAUACGAAGAUCUGGAACCCGGAUCUUUGUAUUUGCUCGUGCAGAUCUGUCGAGCCAUGCAACACCGGAUAUUACUUCAACUACAACACGUGCAGGUGUGAACGGACAGAAUAGAGAGAUCUUCUCUAAAGGAAUAAGGCGUCUUCCUCUUUUCACUGCACUCUACUCUGUCUUAUGUGGACCAAUAGGGUUGUCUAGACCAAUAAACAGAUUUGUAUCCACGAAAGGUUCAAAUUACAAUUUCUCUAACCGUCGGCCCGAAAAUGUGCCGCCUGUGAUAAUCCCAUUGGACCCAUCAGAUCCUAGAAGAAAACCUAAGGAGGAUCCAGAAUAUAAGUGAUA
rnacentral:misc_RNA from 1 species